GUCAGUACCACUUUUUUCUGUUUCCAUUCGUUGACGAACGCCAUUUGGAGAGAUCAUUGGAAGAAACCGAUUAGCUGAAAUCGAUUGUGAGGCGGAGUUGGCGAAGGAAGAAAUCUUAAAGCUUCAUCUUUGGGUUCGUGUUACUGGCAGAAAUUGAUAAUCGACGUUAGGUUUACGGAGAACUGUUCAAAUUCGCGGCAAAAUUUGCAAGGCGGAGUGAUCUCCUACCAAACCCAAAUCCAGAUUUACAGGCUGCAACUACUAGGAGCCACGAUGAAGGCAACUGGCAUUGUAGAUUUUUCCUUUCCUUCCAUAUGAUAAGGUGCCGUUCUAUACUAUUAUUUAUAUGGUGUAGUCCUUUUUUUUUGCAGCUUUGCUCUACUGCCUUCAUUGUAUCACACGUUCAUGUACAUGGCCGCAUUAUGAUGUAUAUGUACUUUUCGUGUUACAACUUCGUGCUAUGUAUAUUCAUGAAGAGAACUAAAGCUUAAGUUACAUAGUACCCAUUUGCGAAAGACCAUCGUUGUUGCCGCACCAUCAACCCCCCUGCUCCUUUACGAUUCUAUUUUUGUGCAAACCCCAUACCAAUACCGACGAUGUUAUGCUGUUGCUGGUGUUGUCACUUGACCUCGUUAUGAAAGACUGCCUUACAUUACUCUUCAUAAUGUGUAAAACAUGCGUCUUCCUAUAAUUGCAUCCAACUGUGCUUUGUAACUUCAGAGAUUGCUUGUAUGGUUAAUCGCACUUACAACAAAAGAUUAUACCAUUAUAAAAAUAGUAUAGUGGGGCAAUGAUA